rnacentral:rRNA from 1 species
AGAACGAACGCUGGCGGCAUGCCUAACACAUGCAAGUCGAACGAGACCUUCGGGUCUAGUGGCGCACGGGUGCGUAACGCGUGGGAAUCUGCCCUUAGGUACGGAAUAACAGUGAGAAAUUACUGCUAAUACCGUAUGAUGUCUUCGGACCAAAGAUUUAUCGCCUAGGGAUGAGCCCGCGUUGGAUUAGCUAGUUGGUGGGGUAAAGGCCUACCAAGGCGACGAUCCAUAGCUGGUCUGAGAGGAUGAUCAGCCACACUGGGACUGAGACACGGCCCAGACUCCUACGGGAGGCAGCAGUGGGGAAUAUUGGACAAUGGGCGAAAGCCUGAUCCAGCAAUGCCGCGUGAGUGAAGAAGGCCUUCGGGUUGUAAAGCUCGUUUUACCGGGAAGAUAAUGACUGUACCGGGAGAAUAAGCCCCGGCUAACUCCGCGCCAGCAGCCGC